CUUUUCUGUUAAAAUAUAUAAAUAUUUUGCUCGUUGUUUAAUUAGGGGUCUCUUUUCCUUAUAGUCAACAAUGAGUUUUGAUGAACACUUCUUAAUUUUAAUGAAGUCCAAUUUGUCCUCUUUUCUGUUCAUGCUUUCGUUGUUCUGUUGACUAGUAAGUUGUGAUUUCUGUUAAUGAUGAGGCCUCUGAUUUGUUCUUCAAGGUUGUCUUAGGCUCUUUGUAUUUUCAUAGAAAUUGGAGAGCAUUUAGAAUCCUCUUAUGCUGUUGGGGAAAUGUAAAAUGGUGCAAUGUGCAGUGUCUUAAAAUAUUAGACACACACGGUAUGCAACAAUUCUACUCCUAGAUAUUCACCCAAGAGAAUUGCAGCUACAUACUGGCUUAUACCUGAAUGGUCAUAGCAGCUUUAUUCACAAUGACCAGACAGUGGAAACAACCCACAUGACCAAGUAAAUAGAUAAACAAAUUGAAUAUACAACAAAAAGGGAUGAUAUUUUUCCCUUUGGAACCAGGGAUUGAACCAAGAGGCACUUGACCACUGAGCCACAUCUCUAGCCCUUUUUAUUUUUUUUAAUUUUGAGGCAAUGUCUCGCUAAGUUGCUAAGGCUGGCCUCCAAUUUGACAUCCUCUUGCCACAGCCUCCAGAGUUGCUGGGAUUCCAGGCAUGUGCUUCCAUAACUAGCAGAGAUGAACUGGUUUUUUAAAAAUAUUUUUAGUUGUUGAAAGAUCCUCAAAAUGUUACCUGUGGGAUGAGGCUAUAGCUUAGUGGUAAAGCACAUGCUUAGCAUGUGUGAGGUCUUGGGUUCCAGUCCAGCAUAUAUAAAUAAAUUUUAUUUAUUUAUUUAUUCAUAUGUGGUGCUGAGGACUGAACCCAGUGCCUCACACAUGCUAGGUAAGUGCUCUACCACUGAGCCACAACCCCAGCCAAGGGAUGAACUAUUGAACUCAGAUAACUGCUGCAUGAAAUAAGGAGACAAGUGUGUGAUUCCACAUCUAUAACGUUCUAAGGAGUACCUCCUUAUCUUAGUAACAGAAAGCUGACUAGUGGGUACCUGGAAGUA
rnacentral:lncRNA from 1 species